AACCCUAGCUGCGGGUCGGCAUGGUCGCCGUCGGCUGCUACCGACUGCGGCGCCUCCGGCUGCUCCCCUCCGUCGACACGGACACUUUAACGUUGACUACGCCUCUUCAUCGUUUUACCUCGACCAUCUCCAGAGCCCCAGCUUGACCUGGCCAUGCUCGGCCCUUCGCUGGUCUCUCCGAUGGUGUGGAAUGUGGUCAUGGUACCGCUGGCGAGAUUGCUACGGUGACAUUUUAAUGGCGUUGCUGUGGUUGUGAUGGUGUUAUGUGGUGGUGUUGGUGCUGCUGGUGAGGUUGAACUCCUCGCCAACGCCAGCGGAACAGUGCUGCAAUGCAACCCUGGCGUCAUCUCCUGUCGGCUGUUGCUGAUGUUGAUGCUACCAUUCUGCUACAUUAACCUCAACGCCGGUGCCUCGUCGUGGCACCCUGCAGGCAAGGAAAGAUAAUGAGAAGAUUGGGAUCAAGAUUAGAAUAGGAUCUUUUUAUUUCUUUGAAACUUCUUUUAUUUCUAAUAUUGUAUUAUUUGUAAUUGAAUUUCUUUUAUGGGACUUGUAAAUGAUGAUUUAGUAAUUAUAGAUGUAAUAAUUAUUUGAAUUUCUUAUUUAUUGUGAGUUUGUAUUAUCUAUAAACUCAAACAAUGUAUUCUUUUAUGAUUGUUUGGAAUCCAAGUUCAAAUUAUUAUUUGAA